AUGCGCUCCCUCCCGCUCCUCAGCUCCUUCUGCCUCCUGGCGGUGGCCUUGGCGACCGAGGUGAAGAAACCUGCAGCCACAGCAGCUCCUGGCACCGUGGAGAAGCUGAACCCUAAGGCAGCCACGCUGGCCAAACGCAGCGCCGGCGCGGCCUUCAGCCUGUACCAGGCCAUGGCCAAGGACCAGGCGGUGGAGAACAUCUUAGUGUCGCCUGUUGAGGUGGCCCUGUCGCUGGGGCUUGUGUCGCUGGGCGGCCAGGCGACCACGGUGUUGCAGGCCAAGGCAGUGCUGAGCACCGAGCAGCUGCGCGACGAGGAGGUGCACGCCUGCGAGGGCGAGCCGCUGCGCUCACUCAGCAACUCCACCGCGCGAAACGUGACUUGGAAGUUGGGCAGCCGCCUGUAGGGACCCAGCUCAGUGAGCUUCGCUGAUGACUUCGUGCGCAGCAGCAAGCAGCUCUACAACUGCGAGCACUACAAGAUCAACUUCCGCGACAAGCGCAGCGCGCUGCAGUCCAUCAACGAGUGGGCCACGCAGACCACCGACGGCAAGCUGCCUGAGGUCACCAAGGACGUGGACUGCACGGACGGCGCCCUACUUGUCAACGCCAUGUUCUUCAAGUCACACGGGGAUGAGAAAUUCUACCACAAGAUGGUGGACAACCGUGGCUUCAUGAUGACUCGGUCCUAUACCGUGGUUGUCAUGAUGAUGCACCAGAAAGGCCUCUACAACUACUAUGACAACGAGAAGGAAAAGCUGCAAAUCAUGGAGAUGCCCCAGACCACAAGCUCUCUAGCCUCAUCACCCUCAUGCCCUACCACGUGGAGCCCCUCGAGGCCUUGAAAAGCGGCUAACCAAAGAGCAGCUGAAGAUCUGGAUAGGGAAGAUGCAGAAGGCUGUCGCCAUCUCCCUGCCCAAGGGUGUGGUGGAGGUUCCCAUGACCUGCAGAAACACCUGUCUGGGCUUGGCCUAACUGAGGCCAUUGACAAGAACAAGGCAAACUUGUCACACAUGCCAUGCAAGAAGGAUCUGUACCUGGCCACGUGUUCCAAACCACCGCCUUUGAGUUGGACACAAAUGGCAACCCCUUUGACCAGGACAUCUAUGGGCACGAGGAGCUGCGCAGCCCCAAGCUGUUCUACUCUGACCACCCCUUCGUCUUCCUGGUGUGGGACACCCAGAGCGGCUCCCUGCUGUUCACUGGUCGCCCAGUCCAGCCUAAGGUUGACAAGAUGCGAGAUGAGUUGUAG